CUUGACUGUUUUGUGAAAAUGGGCUACUAUGCAGCUGGAUUAGCCGACAAACUUGCUGAAGCCCAACGCCUUUCCAAUAUUACUUAGUAACGCAUAAAUGUGCUUUGCUGGAGGAUAUGAGAGCGAAACCAUGACAAGCUUGUAAAAUCCAUGAAGUGUUCUGGAUUCUUCACCCUUAUGUGCCUCGCAGACCUGCAAAACCUGUUGACAAUGAACGGAAGCUACGGCACAG